AGAGUUUGAUCCUGGCUCAGGACGAACGCUGGCGGCGCGCCUAACACAUGCAAGUCGAACGAGAGAUGAGGAGCUUGCUCUUCAGAUCGAGUGGCGAACGGGUGAGUAACGCGUGAGGAACCUGCCUCAAAGAGGGGGACAACAGUUGGAAACGACUGCUAAUACCGCAUAAGCCCACGGCUCGGCAUCGAGCAGAGGGAAAAGGAGCAAUCCGCUUUGAGAUGGCCUCGCGUCCGAUUAGCUAGUUGGUGAGGUAACGGCCCACCAAGGCGACGAUCGGUAGCCGGACUGAGAGGUUGAACGGCCACAUUGGGACUGAGACACGGCCCAGACUCCUACGGGAGGCAGCAGUGGGGAAUAUUGCACAAUGGGGGAAACCCUGAUGCAGCGACGCCGCGUGGAGGAAGAAGGUCUUCGGAUUGUAAACUCCUGUUGUUGAGGAAGAUAAUGACGGUACUCAACAAGGAAGUGACGGCUAACUACGUGCCAGCAGCCGCGGUAAAACGUAAGUCACAAGCGUUGUCCGGAAUUACUGAGUGUAAAGGGAGCGCAGGCGCGGAGAACAAAGUUGGAAGUGAAAUCCAUGGGGCUCAUCCCAUGAACUGGUUUCAAACACUGCUGUGGCUUGAACUAGUGCGAAGGGUAAGGCAGAACUCUCCGGUGACAGCGGGUGGAAUGUACAUAGAUAUCGGGAGGAACACCAGUGGCGAAGGCGGCCUACUGGGCACCAACUGACGCUGAGGCUCGAAAGUGUGGGUAGCAAACAGGAUUAGAUACCCUGGUAGUCCACACCGUAAACGAUGAUUACUAGGUGUUGGAGGAUUGACCCCUUCAGUGCCGCAGUUAACACAAUAAGUAAUCCACCUGGGGAGUACGACCGCAAGGUUGAAACUCAAAGGAAUUGACGGGGGCCCGCACAAGCAGUGGAGUAUGUGGUUUAAUUCGACGCAACGCGAAGAACCUUACCAAGUCUUGACAUCCUGCGACGCACAUAGAAAUAUGUGUUUCCUUCGGGACGCAGAGACAGGUGGUGCAUGGUUGUCGUCAGCUCGUGUCGUGAGAUGUUGGGUUAAGUCCCGCAACGAGCGCAACCCUUAUGGUCAGUUACUACGCAAGAGGACUCUGGCCAGACUGCCGUUGACAAAACGGAGGAAGGUGGGGAUGACGUCAAAUCAUCAUGCCCUUUAUGACUUGGGCUACACACGUACUACAAUGGCGUUAAACAAAGAGAAGCAAGACCGCGAGGUGGAGCAAAACUCAGAAACAACGUCCCAGUUCGGACUGCAGGCUGCAACUCGCCUGCACGAAGUCGGAAUUGCUAGUAAUCGUGGAUCAGCAUGCCACGGUGAAUACGUUCCCGGGCCUUGCACACACCGCCCGUC
rnacentral:rRNA from 1 species